rnacentral:rRNA from 1 species
AGAGUUUGAUCCUGGCUCAGAACGAACGCUGGCGGCAUGCCUAACACAUGCAAGUCGAACGAUUGCCUUCGGGUGAUAGUGGCGCACGGGUGCGUAACGCGUGGGAAUCUGCCCUUAGGUUCGGAAUAACAGCUGGAAACGGCUGCUAAUACCGGAUGAUAUCGCGAGAUCAAAGAUUUAUCGCCUGAGGAUGAGCCCGCGUUGGAUUAGGUAGUUGGUGGGGUAAAGGCCUACCAAGCCGACGAUCCAUAGCUGGUCUGAGAGGAU